UACAGAGGGUGCAAGCGUUAAUCGGAAUUACUGGGCGUAAAGCGCACGUAGGUGGCUGGGUAAGUUGGAUGUGAAAUCCCCGGGCUUAACUUGGGAAUUGCAUUCAAGACUGCCUUGCUAGAGUGUGGAAGAGGGAAGCGGAAUUCCAGGUGUAGCGGUGAAAUGCGUAGAUAUCUGGAGGAACAUCAGUGGCGAAGGCGGCUCACUGGCUCGUAACUGACGCUCAUGCACGACAGCGUGGGGAUCAAACAGG
rnacentral:rRNA from 1 species